AUAAGUUUGCUUAUUUAUUUGUGGUAAGUCAAUAAAUUUGAUAAAGCUUCCUUACUUUAAAAUGAUUUUUUAAAAAUAAAAAAUGGAACUAAGAGUCUCAAAAUUUGUAUCAUCGUGCUCAGGUCAGUCAACAUGUCUAGACAUUGUAAAAGUCAUCCCGACAAGUUCUGUUACGUAUGCGUCCAGCUCACAACUAAAACCCAGUGACGAAGCAACCAAGGUAAACCAUGGGCGCCACAUCAUAUAUAUUCAGGUUGUUCAAAUAGAUUACGGGAUUAGCUUAACAAGAAGAAAUCUUCAAUGCAAUUUGCUAUACCUAUGAUAUGGAGGGAGUUAAAAAUCAUUAUGAAAACUGUUUUUCAGUAGAGUGAACUUUAUGGGAUUUUCUGCAAAGAGCAAGCACCUAAUAUCCCAAACAUAGAGUUAUUACGUACACCAUUAAAACAUGAUGAUUCACUGUCCCUUUCGACCCCCCCCCCUUUCCAGAUGACCGGCUAGAUUAUAUCGUAGAUGACAUGGAAAGUCCUGAAGGUGUAACACUUAUGAAGGUACAACUUUAGAGGCUAAACUCUUGAGCCAAGAACAGUUGAAUGAUUUUGUUAAAGAAUUGUGCCUGUCUCAAGAAGAAUCAAAACUUCUUGAUGCUUCAAGACUAAAAGAGAACAAUUUACUUGAACACAAUCGUCACGUUAGCUAUUACUGAAAGCGGAAUUUUGAUUUAACUUCAUUCUUUUCACUUGACUGUCCUCUGUUACUACCAUGACAUGAAUGAUCUGUUUACAUGCAAGUCUUAGACAUCUGAGUGAAUCGAUAAAAAAGAUUUUGGAAUAAAAUCAUGAUGGCGGACAAUUCACCACUGUAUCGUGACAAUCCUGGGGAAAUAUACAAAGACAUAAACAUUUAUAACGAUUCUAAUAUUA
rnacentral:lncRNA from 1 species